rnacentral:rRNA from 1 species
AUACGGAGGGUCCAAGCGUUAUCCGGAUUCAUCGGGUUUAAAGGGUCCGCAGGCGGGAAAAUAAGUCAGUGGUGAAAGCCUACAGCCCAACUGUAGAACUGCCAUUGAUACUGUUUUUCUUGAGUAUAGAUGAAGUGGGCGGAAUAUAUCAUGUAGCGGUGAAAUGCAUAGAUAUGAUAUAGAACACCGAUUGCGAAGGCAGCUCACUAAACUAUUACUGACGCUCAGGGACGAAAGCGUGGGGAGCGAACAGGAUUAGAAACCCCUGUAGUCC